UACGUAGGGGCAAGCGUUAUCCGGAUUUACUGGGUGUAAAGGGAGCGCAGACGGAACUGCAAGUCUGAUGUGAAAGCCCGGGGCUCAACCGCGGGACUGCAUCGGAUACUGUGGAUCUGGAGUGCCGGAGGGGCAAGCGGAAUUCCUGGUGUAGCGGUGAAAUGCGUAGAUAUCAGGAGGAACACCGGCGGCGAAGGCGGCUUGCUGGACGGCAACUGACGUUGAGGCUCGAAAGCGUGGGGAGCAAACAGGAUUAGAUACCCCU
rnacentral:rRNA from 1 species